CCUACGGGCGGCAGCAGUGAGGAAUAUUGGUCAAUGGACGAGAGUCUGAACCAGCCAAGUAGCGUGAAGGAUGACUGCCCUAUGGGUUGUAAACUUCUUUUAUAUGGGAAUAAAAUGUUCCACGUGUGGGAUUUUGUAUGUACUAUAUGAAUAAGGAUCGGCUAACUCCGUGCCAGCAGCCGCGGUAAUACGGAGGAUCCGAGCGUUAUCCGGAUUUAUUGGGUUUAAAGGGAGCGUAGGUGGAUUGUUAAGUCAGUUGUGAAAGUUUGCGGCUCAACCGGAAAAUUGCAAUUGAAACUGGCAGUCUUGAGUACAGUAGAGGUGGGCGGAAUUCGUGGUGUAGCGGUGAAAUGCUUAGAUAUCACGAAGAACUCCGAUUGCGAAGGCAGUUCACUGGACUGCAACUGACACUGAGGCUCGAAAGUGUGGGUAUCAAACAGGAUUAGAUACCCUAGUAGUC
rnacentral:rRNA from 1 species